rnacentral:lncRNA from 1 species
CUUCAGUGAUGAGACUAUGCCAUUCUGUCUGUAAUGUUUAUAGCACUCUCUCUCCAUGCUUGGUUAUUCAUCCACAGCUUCUCCAAUAGCCUCCCCAUUUUAUGCAUUGUCAUUAUUAUCAGAGUCACUUACUUCUGCACUGGACUUUGAAAUACAGCGGAAGAAAAUAAUUUAGGGUUCAGGAUGAUAUAACACAGGCUAACCCUUAAAAGCAUCCUCCAUUCUUUCCAAAGAUAAGAGGUCCAAAGUCUGGCUAAGAGUAAUGGUUCACUCAGACACAAAGCUUAAAACCACAAGAUCUGGGAUAAGAACCUGUUUUUCUUAUUUAAGGUUGAAGAGGUUUCUUUGUUUGUUUGUUUAGCAUGCCAUGAAGCCAAAUAUGCUUUUUUCAAAAAUGCA